UUGUCUAUGCGCCGGAAGCGAUAGUUCCUGAACUGGCAUGUGGUAACAACGCAAGGUCGGGCUGGCACCCGCGAAGUUAAACCAAGUGAGGAGGUGUGUUGAUCGGCAGGGGCGUUAGCCCCUGGCCGGCUUCUGGUGACCAUGGCAGUGUUUCACGACGAGGUGGAGAUCGAGGACUUCCAAUAUGACGAGGACUUGGAGACGUAUUUCUACCCCUGCCCGUGUGGGGAUAACUUCUCCAUCACCAAGGAAGAUUUGGAGAACGGGGAAGACGUAGCAACGUGUCCUAGCUGCUCUCUCAUUAUAAAAGUGAUUUAUGACAAAGAUCAGUUUGUCUGUGGAGAAACAAUCCCAGCCCCUUCAGCCAACAAAGAAUUAGUUAAAUGCUAAAGAAGCCUUCAGAAAUCCAAAUCGUGAACAGUUGAGAAUGAACCAAGAUGGAAACGUCAAAUACAAAGUUUCUGGCUUCUUCACUGAGACAACCAUUUAGUGGCUUGCUGUUGUUAGAGUGUGGCUUCUUCCCAUCAGCUGCUAAGUUCAUCUUCAAGAAAUGUGUCUGGUGUUCUUGGAAUUCACUUAAAGCAAAACAGCAAAGCUACCCCAUUUGCCUUGGAAGGAGCUAGAAGAGUCUGCUUACUCCAUCCUUCUUUCACUUGGGAGCUGAGUUUUAACUCUCAGGCGGGAACACGGUUGAUAUUCUGUUAAGCCUUUCUCAGUUGCAGGAGAUCAAAUGUUUGGGAUUCAAAAGACAAACAGAGGGACUGAAGCUGCCAACAAAGACUGGUUCACUGAAAUAUGUGAGAUCGACUAAAAUGCUGCUGUCCAGAUACUCAAACGCUGACUGCAGUUUCAGCCUUCCUAACCAAACCUUUCACCACAAUAAAGAAGA